AAAGAAAGAAAGAAAGAAAGAAACAUACAUUUCUGUUGACAGCACGUACUAUCGACUCAUUUCGCUGAAAAAUCCUGAGCUGCAGUCACGAGAAAAGUUGAAAGCACAGAGCCAGUUACUCCUGAGAAGAGAAGUAGGACCAUGAGUUUCACAGCUGGGAAGAACAGGAUACAGAGGCAUCCUUUGAGCACUAAUGGUUGGAAGAAAGGAGCUUGCUCACACAGAAGGAAGAGAGGAAGUUUCCUGAUAGAGAA